GACGAACGCUGGCGGCAUGCUUAACACAUGCAAGUCGAACGGACAGGCCCCUCCGGGGGUUCUCGAGUGGCGAACGGGUGAGUAACACGUGGGUGAUCUGCCCUGCACUUUGGGAUCAGCCUGGGAAACUGGGUCUAAUACCGGAUAGGCCUACGGCCUGCAUGGGUUGUGGUGGAAAGCUUUUGCGGUGUGGGAUGGGCCCGCGGCCUAUCAGCUGGUUGGGGGGGUGAUGGCCUACCAAGGCGUCGACGGGUCGCCGGCCUGAGAGGGUGUCCGGCCACACUGGGACUGAGAUACGGCCCAGACUCCUACGGGAGGCAGCAGUGGGGAAUAUUGCACAAUGGGCGCAAGCCUGAUGCAGCGACGCCGCGUGGGGGAAGACGGCCUUCGGGUUGUAAACCUCUUUCAGCACAGACGAAGCGCAAGUGACGGUAUGUGCAGAAGAAGCACCGGCCAACUACGUGCCAGCAGCCGCCGUAAAAC
rnacentral:rRNA from 1 species